GUGUCAGCCGCCGCGGUAAUACGUAGGGGGCGAGCGUUGCUCGGAAUUACUGGGCGUAAAGGGUGUGUAGGUGGCUGAGCAAGUCGAAGAUGAAAUCCCAGGGCUCAACCCUGGAAUUGUCUUUGAUACUGUUCAGCUUGAGGGUGGUCGAGGAAGACGGAAUUCCCGGUGGAGCGGUGAAAUGCGUAGAUAUCGGGAGGAACACCGGAGGCGAAGGCGGUCUUCUGGGCCACUCCUGACACUGAGGCACGAAAGCGAGGGGAGCGAACGGGAUUAGAUACCCCGGUAGUCCUAGCCGUAAACGAUGGGCACUAGAUGUUCCCACAUUUUGUGGGAGUGUCGAAGCUAACGCGUUAAGUGCCCCGCCUGGGGAGUACGGCCGUAAGGUUAAAACUCAAAUGAAUUGACGGGG
rnacentral:rRNA from 1 species